GAUGAACGCUGGCGGCGUGCCUAAUACAUGCAGGUCGAGCGAACAGACGCGGAGCUUGCUCCUUUGACGUUAGCGGCGGACGGGUGAGUAACACGUGGGUAACCUACCUAUAAGACUGGGAUAACUUCGGGAAACCGGAGCUAAUACCGGAUAAUAUUUCGAACCGCAUGGUUCGAUAGUGAAAGAUGGCUUUGCUAUCACUUAUAGAUGGACCUGCGCCGUAUUAGCUAGUUGGUAAGGUAACGGCUUACCAAGGCAACGAUACGUAGCCGACCUGAGAGGGUGAUCGGCCACACUGGAACUGAGACACGGUCCAGACUCCUACGGGAGGCAGCAGUAGGGAAUCUUCCGCAAUGGGCGAAAGCCUGACGGAGCAACGCCGCGUGAGUGAUGAAGGUCUUCGGAUCGUAAAACUCUGUUAUUAGGGAAGAACAAACGUGUAAGUAACUGUGCACGUCUUGACGGUACCUAAUCAGAAAGCCACGGCUAACUACGUG
rnacentral:rRNA from 1 species